rnacentral:rRNA from 1 species
GACAGAGGUGCCGAGCGUUAGGCGGAAUCACUGGGCCUAAAGCGUGUGUAGGCGGCGGCGUAAGUACCUUGUGAAAUCCCACGGCUCAACCGUGGAACUGCUCGGUAUACUGCGUCGCUUGAGCCAGCUAGGGGCAACCGGAACAAACGGUGGAGCGGUGAAAUGCGUAGAUAUCGGAAAGAACACCAACGGCGAAAGCACUCUGCUGGGCCGACACUGACACUGAGAGACGAAAGCUAGGGGAGCGAAUGGG